UUUUCUCUUAUUUGCUUCGCCGCCUUCGCCUUGGGCGCAAGUAAUCUGAGAAGAUUUAAUUGAAUUUGAACCUCGCGAUUUCCUUAUGGCUCUUGUCUUCCUCCCUAGCUAAUCUCUAUGUUCUAUCUCCUCCCAAUUCUAUUUUUGUCUAUGAGCUAUCAACUUCUUCAUUGCCUUCAUCAAAGAGAACAGGGUUGAAUAAUUUCAUGAACACAGUGUUCCUGUAUCGGAUUUGAUGGCAAAGCAAAUUGGGUUUUGCAAAAUUGAAGGAAAAUCUUCCAAUCGAGCAAAAUGGUGCUGCCCACUUCGGCUAGCUCUGUGAAGCAGUGGUUGAAGGAAUCUUGUAUUCCUUAUGUCCAUAGGGCAGGAGGUUAUUAGAGCAAUUUUGGGUAGGACAGCCUAUAGUGAAUUUGUACUAGUGAUUUUGGGGAGAAUGUGGUGGAUUCAUCAGGACAUGGGUUGAAUUCGAAUCCGGGUUUGGAGGUCCAGAGCAAGGAAAUCCAGAGAGCUAUAUGGGUUUGCAAACUGGUGAUUCGAGCUGUUGGAAUGGGAGCAAUAUAUUUUGAGCAUAUAUGUUGCAUUUGCGUCUUUGCAGCUUGAAUAUUUUGAGCAUAUAUUUUCAUGCUUUGAUUUUGAGUGGUAUCUGGAAUCCACUGAUUCAUUUUCCUCUGUAGAACAGUAUUAGGAAUUGUUCAAAGACUGCUAAUUUCUCUGAUACUUCAAACAUAAAGCAUAGGAGGGUUAGAAUUUGGUCAUGACAGUUUAGACUAUAGCAUCCAAAUAUUGUAUGAUUAAUGGUUUAUUGACCUACUCUUUUCUCUGUGUUCUACUCUCACCAGAAAAUAGUGUAAUGAAUUGGAAAUGUCUUAUGGAUGUACUUCAUACUCGGCUUUAUAAUUGUCAGUAACACUUGUUGGCUUAACCAUUAUAUCUGUGCAUCUGGAAUAAGGAUCAUGAGAAGCAGCUUCUGUAGGUACUUGAUGUUGCCUGUAAAUGCCUAGAUCCCAAUCCCAGGCAGAGACCCUCUAUCGAAGAAGUUGUAUCAUGGCUUGAUGCAUUUCACCUUGGAUUGCAGAGUGAGAAACAAUGAAGAUCCUUGCUGCAUUUCACCUUAGAGAACCCACCUGAGGUUUGAUUAGGAUCCCAAAAUGAAAAGGUACCUCUAAGCAACACUGUUGCAAAGUUUAUGGUGUGCAAUCUCAAAUCAACUUUGGUUUCUUGUAGAAACACCCCCUCGUACUAAUACUCAGAUAGGCUAUGUUUGGUAUGGCUAUGCUUUUCAGAAAAGCUGGCUUCUGCUUAUUUUUGAGAAUAAGUGGCUGAAAAGCAAAGCAGCUGAGUGUUUGGUAAACUGGCUUUUUAUAAGAGCUGUCAGUGACAAAAGUAGUGGUAAAGUGUUUUGUAAACUCAAACUGGCUGGUGCUUU
rnacentral:lncRNA from 1 species